GCCCUCGUCGUUCAACGGAUAGGACGCGGCCCUGCGAAGGCUGAGAUUGAGGUUCAAUUCCUCACGAGGGCACCA
rnacentral:tRNA from 1 species